rnacentral:tRNA from 1 species
GGGGAUGUAGCUCAGUGGUAGAGUGCAUUUUUGCAUGUAUGAGGCCCCGGGUUCAAUCCCGGCAUUCCAG